rnacentral:rRNA from 1 species
GAAAAGCACUCUGAAGAGAGAGUCAAAGACCGUGAAACCGCUCAGAGUAUAAGCCGAUGGAGCUUUGGAAGGCUUCCGCAGUCUCGGGCAUCAUACGUGGUGUCCGGAAGGCAUGUAGCAAGGUUCGUCAGGCGGAGCAUUGAGUUUGCACCCUUAGCCGGCGUGCGGGGAUUCGGUUCGGGGGUCUUAGGCUUCGGCCGAAGGGCUUCUGGCUGUUUCCUUAUGAAUGGUCGUUCAGAGCUACUGUGUCUAAUGCGGUUACGCCCACCACGGCACGUUGUGAGGUCACCCACAGGCUCAAACUGCCGAGCGCGAAUCCAGGACGAUGGCAACGAUGCGUCCUCUUUGCUUCUUCGGGAGCAUUGACGCGUGUCUAGUCCUGGGUCGGGCGGCGACCGAGAUAAACCUGGUAUGAUCCUCUUGCGACGAGCUGCUUUCUGGCCAGACCGACGUCCGGGCGCUUCCACUUUGCCAGGAAGUGUCUAUCCCAGGCGGUAUGACCCAGCUGCAUUCUGCAAGGUCUCUCAGCCGGGCGUUGGUCUGAGUGGUGUCAAGUCCAGCACCUUCGGUCACGUCUCGAAACACGGGCCAAGGAGUAUAGCAUGUGUGCAAGUCUAAGGGUCUCCCAAAACCCGAAGGCGAAGUGAAAGCAAGACUGUGGCGGGUAAGCUACGGCGAACCCGCCGGCCUAGUGGCUUCGCACCUUGCGUGUGUUGCCCGGCUUUUAACAGAGCUGAUCCUGCUUUCUCGGAUAAUUCCUGGCGCAGGCGCAAGCUCCGGGCUCACGUAUAGCACUGGUCACCUCGUGUGGCUGUGUUGUGAGCACCGUGGAGCAUGCAUGCUAU